rnacentral:rRNA from 7 species
AAAUUGAAGAGUUUGAUCAUGGCUCAGAUUGAACGCUGGCGGCAGGCCUAACACAUGCAAGUCGAACGGUAACAGGAAGCAGCUUGCUGCUUUGCUGACGAGUGGCGGACGGGUGAGUAAUGUCUGGGAAACUGCCUGAUGGAGGGGGAUAACUACUGGAAACGGUGGCUAAUACCGCAUAACGUCGCAAGACCAAAGAGGGGGACCUUCGGGCCUCUUGCCAUCAGAUGUGCCCAGAUGGGAUUAGCUUGUUGGUGAGGUAACGGCUCACCAAGGCGACGAUCCCUAGCUGGUCUGAGAGGAUGACCAGCCACACUGGAACUGAGACACGGUCCAGACUCCUACGGGAGGCAGCAGUGGGGAAUAUUGCACAAUGGGCGCAAGCCUGAUGCAGCCAUGCCGCGUGUAUGAAGAAGGCCUUCGGGUUGUAAAGUACUUUCAGCGGGGAGGAAGGUGUUGUGGUUAAUAACCGCAGCAAUUGACGUUACCCGCAGAAGAAGCACCGGCUAACUCCGUGCCAGCAGCCGCGGUAAUACGGAGGGUGCAAGCGUUAAUCGGAAUUACUGGGCGUAAAGCGCACGCAGGCGGUCUGUCAAGUCGGAUGUGAAAUCCCCGGGCUCAACCUGGGAACUGCAUUCGAAACUGGCAGGCUUGAGUCUUGUAGAGGGGGGUAGAAUUCCAGGUGUAGCGGUGAAAUGCGUAGAGAUCUGGAGGAAUACCGGUGGCGAAGGCGGCCCCCUGGACAAAGACUGACGCUCAGGUGCGAAAGCGUGGGGAGCAAACAGGAUUAGAUACCCUGGUAGUCCACGCCGUAAACGAUGUCUACUUGGAGGUUGUGCCCUUGAGGCGUGGCUUCCGGAGCUAACGCGUUAAGUAGACCGCCUGGGGAGUACGGCCGCAAGGUUAAAACUCAAAUGAAUUGACGGGGGCCCGCACAAGCGGUGGAGCAUGUGGUUUAAUUCGAUGCAACGCGAAGAACCUUACCUGGUCUUGACAUCCACGGAAGAAUUCAGAGAUGGAUUUGUGCCUUCGGGAACCGUGAGACAGGUGCUGCAUGGCUGUCGUCAGCUCGUGUUGUGAAAUGUUGGGUUAAGUCCCGCAACGAGCGCAACCCUUAUCCUUUGUUGCCAGCGGUCCGGCCGGGAACUCAAAGGAGACUGCCAGUGAUAAACUGGAGGAAGGUGGGGAUGACGUCAAGUCAUCAUGGCCCUUACGACCAGGGCUACACACGUGCUACAAUGGCGCAUACAAAGAGAAGCGACCUCGCGAGAGCAAGCGGACCUCAUAAAGUGCGUCGUAGUCCGGAUUGGAGUCUGCAACUCGACUCCAUGAAGUCGGAAUCGCUAGUAAUCGUGGAUCAGAAUGCCACGGUGAAUACGUUCCCGGGCCUUGUACACACCGCCCGUCACACCAUGGGAGUGGGUUGCAAAAGAAGUAGGUAGCUUAACCUUCGGGAGGGCGCUUACCACUUUGUGAUUCAUGACUGGGGUGAAGUCGUAACAAGGUAACCGUAGGGGAACCUGCGGUUGGAUCACCUCCUUACCUGAAAGAAGC